rnacentral:rRNA from 1 species
UACAGAGACUGCAAGCGUUAUUCGGAUUCACUGGGCGUAAAGGGUGCGCAGGCGGCCGUGUGUGUCAGGUGUGAAAGCCCGGAGCUUAACUCCGGAAUUGCGCCUGAAACUACAUGGCUAGAGCAUUGGAGAGGGUAGCGGAAUUCACGGUGUAGCAGUGAAAUGCGUAGAUAUCGAUGAGGAACACCAGAGGCGAAGGCGGCUACCUGGACAAUUGCUGACGCUCGGGACGACGAAAGCGUGGGGAGCAAAAGGG